rnacentral:piRNA from 2 species
UGUAGCAGUGAACUACAGGGUC